CCCUUUCCCCUGGCUGGCAGCGCGGAGGCCGCACGAUGCCUGGAGUUACUGUAAAAGACGUGAACCAGCAGGAGUUCGUCAGAGCUCUGGCAGCCUUCCUCAAAAAGUCCGGGAAGCUGAAAGUCCCCGAAUGGGUGGACACCGUCAAGCUGGCCAAGCACAAAGAGCUUGCUCCCUACGAUGAGAACUGGUUCUACACGCGAGCUGGUGAGGAACUUAGGUCUUUGGCUGGAGAGUGGGGAGCUGGGUGACCCCUGGCACAAACCAUACUUCCCUGUCUCCUCUGAGCUCUUUCCUGCCCCAAGAGGGAGAGAAACCCUUGGUUGUGUCACCACUUGCUUUGUGUGAUGUGACAUUCGAUAACUUGUUACUCCAAGUUUUUAUGACAUUCUAAGAGCUUUGUGAGAGGAGGACCUGUGGCUUUGAGCCUCAGGGGAAACCAGAGACAGAUGAAUGUUCAUAUUUUGCUUACAGGUGGUUUAAUCCUUUCUAUAUACACGGAGGCAGACUCCCUGGGUUUGAAUCCAUCUUUUACAUCUGGCUGUGUGUCCUCUGGCAAGUUGGUUAACCUGCCUGUGCACUCUCUCAUCCCCAAAAUGGG
rnacentral:sRNA from 1 species